UGUGUAACCGGAAAGCAGAACUCUUUAACUGAUAAAAUAUGAAAGUUACCAGCCAACUUGGCUUAAAGUGGUAAACUACCUCCAGUUUACAAUGAUCAACCCAGGAGGAAACCUCUCAUCUCGUGGAUUGGCAUUACUGGAAAGAUGGAAGAGGGGUUCUUUAACAGAUCUUUUACGUGAAGAAGCGGCCAAGUCCCUGGCUUUCUUAUCAACUGCAGGAAGUGGCAUCGAAUAACCCUGUGGAUGCACAAAUCUGGGAUUGGUGUCAUAUUUCUUAAAAAUGCAAAACUGCAACCCCGCAUGCUCCUCUUGCAGAUGUCGAUAUGCAUCAUUACGUUUGUAAAAAAUGUUGUCGCAAAACAAACUUGGACACUCAUACAUGGCGCACUUCUCCUUAUGAAAUCUUAGAUAAUGUACGCGGUAACUUCCAAGUUUCUUGAAGAUAUGAGGAAGUGACGGACAUUUGGUAACUGGACAAGGUUGUCCUUCAUCUGGCCAAACCGAUGCCACUGCCUCCUCCUGGGCCUCAAACUCUUCAAGUUCGCAAGGAUCUAUUUUUAUCUCUAAAGGAUCCAUCUGACAAUUUGAAAAAAAAUUGUAAAACAAAGAUUAGAAAAUAUGAAAAUAAAUUAAUAACCAUUAAUGCAA